rnacentral:lncRNA from 1 species
UGAAGACCCAUAUGUUGUUAAGAGAGCCUUUUCAGGCGGCACAUUGAUUCUUACAACAAUGGAUGGUGAAGAGUUCACUCGUCCUGUGAACAUAGAUACAGUCAAGAAAUACUUCGCCUAAAAAAAAGAAUAACUCGCUAAGUUGAAAACCCAAAAGGGCGGCUUAGGCAAAAAUGAGCGUCUCGGUGGAUUGAAAACCCGAAAGGGCGAUCCAGGCAAAAAUU